rnacentral:pre_miRNA from 1 species
UAAAUACUCGCUCCGUUCGGAAUUAUUUGUCGCGAAAAUGGAUGUAUCUAGAACUAAAAUACAUCUAGAUACAUCCAUAUCUACGACAAGUAAUUCCGAACGGAGGGAGUAUAAG